AGCUUGCUCCUGAAUUCAGCGGCGGACGGGUGAGUAAUGCCUAGGAAUCUGCCUGGUAGUGGGGGACAACGUUUCGAAAGGAACGCUAAUACCGCAUACGUCCUACGGGAGAAAGCAGGGGACCUUCGGGCCUUGCGCUAUCAGAUGAGCCUAGGUCGGAUUAGCUAGUUGGUGAGGUAAUGGCUCACCAAGGCGACGAUCCGUAACUGGUCUGAGAGGAUGAUCAGUCACACUGGAACUGAGACACGGUCCAGACUCCUACGGGAGGCAGCAGUGGGGAAUAUUGGACAAUGGGCGAAAGCCUGAUCCAGCCAUGCCGCGUGUGUGAAGAAGGUCUUCGGAUUGUAAAGCACUUUAAGUUGGGAGGAAGGGCAGUAAAUUAAUACUUUGCUGUUUUGACGUUACCGACAGAAUAAGCACCGGCUAACUCUGUGCCAGCAGCCGCGGUAAUACAGAGGGUGCAAGCGUUAAUCGGAAUUACUGGGCGUAAAGCGCGCGUAGGUGGUUUGUUAAGUUGGAUGUGAAAUCCCCGGGCUCAACCUGGGGACUGCAUUCAAAACUGACAAGCUAGAGUAUGGUAGAGGGUGGUGGAAUUUCCUGUGUAGCGGUGAAAUGCGUA
rnacentral:rRNA from 1 species